CUCUGUUUCGAUAAGGCUGAGGGAGAGCUCGAGCGGGGAGCAGAGGAUGGGAUUCUCCCCGUCCAUGGCGAUUUCGAGAUCUCCCACCGCCUGAGCUUGAUCUCUCUUCCCUUUCUCUUCGACACCUGUGUCAUGAUUCAUGUUAUAGAACAGGUUUGUGUACCAGGGAUUACAUUCUCCUCCUCCAUCUUCGCUUGCUGCCACUUCAUUAUGCAAGUUUGCCUCCAAUGUCUGCAAAUAUGAAGAAAAUUCCUUCAGAUUUUGUUAAUGAAAGAGGUGAAGAGAGAUGAUGGUGAGGAGUUUGUGUACGAUUGUUGCUGACCUGUUGAUUCCCCGAUCUCCCAUGGCCGCCUCUCCCUUUCCCAUGGGCGCCUCCCAGAUUUGUUCUAGGCUGUUAGGUGAGAUCUUUGUAGUGGUUGAUGGCAAUUGGCGUGUUUUGUUGUGCCUGGGAUCGGACAAAUCGGGUCAGAUGUUUACCCGACCCGUUUAGACGAUCAGGAGGUUUUUUUUAGCUAUCUGCUGAUUUUCCUGCUC